ACUAUAAAAUCGCUAUUCUCUAGAAAAACGGAGACAACGAAGGUGCCAAACCUCUUUGACCUUCAUUAUAUGUUAGUGAAGGAUGCAAAUAUGCAUUAAAAUAGAAUUUUCAUUUUUUUUUAUUUUUUCUCAAAAUCUAUGGGUUAACCCCUACGAAAAUAUUUAAUUUUUCGGUAAAUACUCUAUAUACUGAAGCCUAUAACCUUUUGUGAAGUUUUAAAAACUUUAAAUACAUUCUACAUUUGUAUUAAUGUAUAUUAAACUUUCUUUCAAGGUACAUGGGCAACAUUUAAACUUUUUGUUAAUUAAUUUAGUAAAACUUCAUAAUACUCCCUCAAUGGGUUGACAAACCACUAUAAAAUCGCUAUUCUCUAGAAAAACGUAGACAACCAAGGUUCCAA
rnacentral:lncRNA from 1 species